ACCGGUAUGAAUGGUGUCACGAGGGUUUCACUGUUUUAAAAAAUCUCCAAUGAAAUUGAGAUUGGGGUGAAGACGCCCCAUCCAAAUUGUAAGACGAGAAGUCCCCAUGGAACUUUACUGGAGGCUUAUAGUACGGAUAUUAAAAUAGAGGCUGAAGGGUCUUUUUUGUUUUUAUAGAAGGGUUCAAGGUAAGAGGGACAGUUUCAUUGGGGCGAUGGCUUUUUAAAAAGUAACAAAAGUGAGCUAGAAAUAUAAGUUUGAUUGUGAGGGAGAGGGCCCGAGCAGACACUCUAGGUGGGCGGAAGUGACCCGUUAUUU
rnacentral:rRNA from 1 species